CUCCGCAAGGGGUGGCGCACGGCUCAGUAACACGUAGUCAACCUACCCUGGGGACGGGGAUAACCUCGGGAAACUGAGGCUAAACCCCGAUGGGCCAUGGCUCCUGGAAUGGGCUAUGGCUGAAAUCUAUAUGGCCCUAGGAUGGGACUGCGGCCGAUCAGGUAGUUGGUGGGGUAAUGGCCCACCAAGCCUAUAACCGGUGCGGGCUCUGAGAGGAGGAGCCCGGAGAUGGGCACUGAGACAAGGGCCCAGGUCCUAUGGGGCGCAGCAGGCGCGAAACCUCCGCAAUGGGCGAAAGCCCGACGGGGUCAGUCCGAGUGGUUCCCGCUGAAGGGGCCUUUUGCCAGCUGUAAAAAGGCUGGCGAAUAAGGGGUGGGCAAGUUUGGUGUCAGCCGCCGCGGUAAUACCAGCACCCCGAGUGGUCGGGACGAUUAUUGGGCCUAAAGCAUCCGUAGCCGGCUUAGCAAGUCCUCCGUUAAAUCCAACGGCUCAACCGUUGGGCUGCGGGGGAUACUGCUGGGCUAGGGGACGGGAGAGGCGAGGGGUAUUCCCGGGGUAGGGGUAAAAUCCACUGAUCCCGGGAGGACCACCAGUGGCGAAGGCGCCUCGCUAGAACGUGCCCGACG
rnacentral:rRNA from 1 species